GGGUUGUGAGGUUAAGCGACUAAGCGUACACGGUGGAUGCCCUGGCAGUCAGAGGCGAUGAAGGACGUGCUAAUCUGCGAUAAGCGUCGGUGAGGUGAUAUGAACCGUUAUAACCGGCGAUUUCCGAAUGGGGAAACCCAGUGUGUUUCGACACACUAUCAUUAACUGAAUCCAUAGGUUAAUGAGGCGAACCGGGGGAACUGAAACAUCUAAGUACCCCGAGGAAAAGAAAUCAACCGAGAUUCCCCCAGUAGCGGCGAGCGAACGGGGAGCAGCCCAGAGCCUGAAUCAGUGUGUGUGUUAGUGGAAGCGUCUGGAAAGGCGUGCGAUACAGGGUGACAGCCCCGUACACAAAAAUGCACAUACUGUGAGCUCGAUGAGUAGGGCGGGACACGUGGUAUCCUGUCUGAAUAUGGGGGGACCAUCCUCCAAGGCUAAAUACUCCUGACUGACCGAUAGUGAACCAGUACCGUGAGGGAAAGGCGAAAAGAACCCCGGCGAGGGGAGUGAAAAAGAACCUGAAACCGUGUACGUACAAGCAGUGGGAGCCUCUUAAUGGGGUGACUGCGUACCUUUUGUAUAAUGGGUCAGCGACUUAUAUUCUGUAGCAAGGUUAACCGAAUAGGGGAGCCGAAGGGAAACCGAGUCUUAACUGGGCGUUAAGUUGCAGGGUAUAGACCCGAAACCCGGUGAUCUAGCCAUGGGCAGGUUGAAGGUUGGGUAACACUAACUGGAGGACCGAACCGACUAAUGUUGAAAAAUUAGCGGAUGACUUGUGGCUGGGGGUGAAAGGCCAAUCAAACCGGGAGAUAGCUGGUUCUCCCCGAAAGCUAUUUAGGUAGCGCCUCGUGAAUUCAUCUCCGGGGGUAGAGCACUGUUUCGGCAAGGGGGUCAUCCCGACUUACCAACCCGAUGCAAACUGCGAAUACCGGAGAAUGUUAUCACGGGAGACACACGGCGGGUGCUAACGUCCGUCGUGAAGAGGGAAACAACCCAGACCGCCAGCUAAGGUCCCAAAGUCAUGGUUAAGUGGGAAACGAUGUGGGAAGGCCCAGACAGCCAGGAUGUUGGCUUAGAAGCAGCCAUCAUUUAAAGAAAGCGUAAUAGCUCACUGGUCGAGUCGGCCUGCGCGGAAGAUGUAACGGGGCUAAACCAUGCACCGAAGCUGCGGCAGCGACACUAUGUGUUGUUGGGUAGGGGAGCGUUCUGUAAGCCUGCGAAGGUGUACUGUGAGGUAUGCUGGAGGUAUCAGAAGUGCGAAUGCUGACAUAAGUAACGAUAAAGCGGGUGAAAAGCCCGCUCGCCGGAAGACCAAGGGUUCCUGUCCAACGUUAAUCGGGGCAGGGUGAGUCGACCCCUAAGGCGAGGCCGAAAGGCGUAGUCGAUGGGAAACAGGUUAAUAUUCCUGUACUUGGUGUUACUGCGAAGGGGGGACGGAGAAGGCUAUGUUGGCCGGGCGACGGUUGUCCCGGUUUAAGCGUGUAGGCUGGUUUUCCAGGCAAAUCCGGAAAAUCAAGGCUGAGGCGUGAUGACGAGGCACUACGGUGCUGAAGCAACAAAUGCCCUGCUUCCAGGAAAAGCCUCUAAGCAUCAGGUAACAUCAAAUCGUACCCCAAACCGACACAGGUGGUCAGGUAGAGAAUACCAAGGCGCUUGAGAGAACUCGGGUGAAGGAACUAGGCAAAAUGGUGCCGUAACUUCGGGAGAAGGCACGCUGAUAUGUAGGUGAAGUCCCUCGCGGAUGGAGCUGAAAUCAGUCGAAGAUACCAGCUGGCUGCAACUGUUUAUUAAAAACACAGCACUGUGCAAACACGAAAGUGGACGUAUACGGUGUGACGCCUGCCCGGUGCCGGAAGGUUAAUUGAUGGGGUUAGCGGUAACGCGAAGCUCUUGAUCGAAGCCCCGGUAAACGGCGGCCGUAACUAUAACGGUCCUAAGGUAGCGAAAUUCCUUGUCGGGUAAGUUCCGACCUGCACGAAUGGCGUAAUGAUGGCCAGGCUGUCUCCACCCGAGACUCAGUGAAAUUGAACUCGCUGUGAAGAUGCAGUGUACCCGCGGCAAGACGGAAAGACCCCGUGAACCUUUACUAUAGCUUGACACUGAACAUUGAGCCUUGAUGUGUAGGAUAGGUGGGAGGCUUUGAAGUGUGGACGCCAGUCUGCAUGGAGCCGGCCUUGAAAUACCACCCUUUAAUGUUUGAUGUUCUAACGUUGGCCCCUGAUCGGGGUUGCGGACAGUGUCUGGUGGGUAGUUUGACUGGGGCGGUCUCCUCCUAAAGAGUAACGGAGGAGCACGAAGGUUGGCUAAUCCUGGUCGGACAUCAGGAGGUUAGUGCAAUGGCAUAAGCCAGCUUGACUGCGAGCGUGACGGCGCGAGCAGGUGCGAAAGCAGGUCAUAGUGAUCCGGUGGUUCUGAAUGGAAGGGCCAUCGCUCAACGGAUAAAAGGUACUCCGGGGAUAACAGGCUGAUACCGCCCAAGAGUUCAUAUCGACGGCGGUGUUUGGCACCUCGAUGUCGGCUCAUCACAUCCUGGGGCUGAAGUAGGUCCCAAGGGUAUGGCUGUUCGCCAUUUAAAGUGGUACGCGAGCUGGGUUUAGAACGUCGUGAGACAGUUCGGUCCCUAUCUGCCGUGGGCGCUGGAGAACUGAGGGGGGCUGCUCCUAGUACGAGAGGACCGGAGUGGACGCAUCACUGGUGUUCGGGUUGUCAUGCCAAUGGCACUGCCCGGUAGCUAAAUGCGGAAGAGAUAAGUGCUGAAAGCAUCUAAGCACGAAACUUGCCCCGAGAUGAGUUCUCCCUGACUCUUUAAGGGUCCUGAAGGAACGUUGAAGACGACGACGUUAAUAGGCCGGGUGUGUAAGCGCAGCGAUGCGUUGAGCUAACCGGUACUAAUGAACCGUGAGGCUUAACCUUACAACGCCGAAG
rnacentral:rRNA from 1 species